AGAAUGUGAGUCAGUGGUUAUCUCAACUGGGCGUGGAGGGCGGCGGGGUGGAAGAACAUCAGGCGUUGGAGUGUGAAGGAAGAGGCAGGAAUGGAGUGAUAGGAAAAGGGACGUGCCAGGGCAUAGGUAAUCUCUGGGGAUCAACCGAAGCCCACAACAACAACAACAACGACCUUCUCUUCAAUCCAUACCAUCGACACCAACUGACAAAGAUACAUCGCACUGAAGGAGAUCGCCUUCCAACGCCCUCCCGUGUACUUCUACCAACUGAAAGGCCAGUUGGAGAGGCACCGGUACAGGGUUUUGGUGUUGGGGGUAUUGAUGGUGGUGGUGAGUGCCCCAUGCCCCUCUUCCACCUCCCACACCAAGAUCAAGGAACUAUUAGUGGUCAGAACCUCCACCAUAAUCAAGUGCAUCAUAUGGCAGAUCCACAGAUGGCUUUUCCUGCACCAAAUCAAUGGGACGCCUUCAUUUGGCCUCCUCCUCCUCCUCCUCUCCCUUCUCCUCUUCCUCCUCAAUCUCCUUUACCUCUUCCUCCUCCUCCUCCUUCUAGUCAUCCUUCUCUUCCACCGACCUCUCCUCAACCUAACCCUCCCCCGCCUGCUCCUUUUUCUGCCGUUCCUCUUCAUCCAUCAUCAAUUCCUCCUCUUCCUCCUCCUCCUCCUCCUCGUCGUCCUUCUUCACUUCCUCAGCCUCUUCUUCACCCUCAAACCAUUCCCUUACCACCUCCACAUCCUCGUAGUUCCCCUAUGCCUCUUCCUCCUCUUCUUUCAACUCCUCCAGCACAACGGAUUUCAGCUUCACAAUCGUCACCCCAUCCUCCUCUUCAACCUCUCCCUCCUCCUCCUCCUGACUCUUCUUCUGAGUCGGCGGAGUUUACCUUCAGCCCCAAACCUUCGAAGCACCAGGACGUGUGGUGGGGGGCGACGCGGAGCAGCAGAUUUCACCUAGUAGCCGUCAGUCACUUGGAGAGCAAUAUGGUGUUUGAGCCUAAAUUCGGAUGGGCUCAACAACGCCGCACCAGCACACACCUAUCAGGCCUGCAGUCUCCAGGUAAUGACCUCGGCCUCCCUCACGCCCUGCGGGCCCCCAACGACCUCCUCAACCUAUACUCCAAGAGCUGAGUCUCGAGGCCGCCCACUCACGCCACUCUUCUUCAGGAUAAUUGUUCGACGCUUCUUUCUUGGUACGACUAUUCCCACUUGCAGUUUACACAAUGGCUAUUCGAUUGAUUUUAUGUGGAUUACUCUUUUAAUGCAUUUAAACACACCAAACAAAAACAAAAAAAAUGUACUGGUGACGCAACUUUGUAUAAUUAUGAAAUGUUAGGCAUGAAUGUUACCUCAGUUUUAUUUCGUUUGAUUUGGGAAUAAAAUUUACAAUAUAAUCAGUUUGUGUAUCUGCCGAAAUCAGUAAUUUUCACGUAUGGCAAUGAACUAGCAACUCCUCGUGGUCAUACGUAAAUGAAAUAAUUUUGUGAUAGAAAUCAAAUGCAUUUUAAUGGGGUUAGUUCUAAGGAAAUUAAACUUUAGGAAGGGAGUGUGAUGAGAAAAAAGACAGCAGAAUAAAUUACGAAUAAUCUCCACUCUAGAAAAAAAAAACUAUGACAAUGUUAUGAAUGAUUUAGUAAGUAAGCGAAAUCGAAAGUUUUUUUUACAACUCAGAAUAAGAAUUGAGAUUUUUAAAGUGGCAAAAAAGUGCAUUUCUCUUUGAUUUUCUUAUUUUGUUUUGCGGUUCAAGGACAUAUUUAUUGAACUUUUAUCUUCAUGGCUUAUAACCCAACAGACAAAGGUUAAAAAAGUGAGCACAGCGUCACCACGUGCAAGGUCAACGACAUAUGAAGUGGGAUGGCCGGUUCCUCUCUCCGCUGGCCUUAUAACCAGAGCUGUGGCUAACCAGUUGCUCAUUAAUAACAUAAAACCACUCAAAGGAAUCACAGUGUGACUUGCUUAACUCGACUGACAGAGAUAAUACAGGUUCCCUCUGCCUGGGCUCAUCGCCAGGGCCCGCCGCAACGAGGUCAGUGACUCGUAACGUCAAGGGAAAUAUUUCAGUAGGACUUAGAUGACAGGUUUUGGGCUGGAGAACAGUAGAUGAAGGAGUAGUGGACACGGCCGCGGUGACGGAUGAGCCUGAACACUAUACGCGGGCUGAAACGGCGCAGUGAACUCGGAUAUACUGACAAUGAAAAACGUUUGUGUAGGAGUAUUCUGCAAGGGAAAGGAACAUUGUGGGUGGGCGGCAUGCACGUGGAGGAUAGAUGGGAGACGGUCAAGGCUGGACAGGACACGAAGAAGUAAAACCGGGCCCCGUAUACCGGAUCUUGGCCGCAUAAUGGUGGACACAGAGAACCCAUGAUGACUGCUCUGUUCACAGACAUCACGAGACUGGACGCACGCGCUCAUUCUGGAUUACUUAGGCUUAGGGUGUAUUAAGGACACGUAUUUGAAUUGUUCCAGAUUGACUAUGAACAAGUGUUGGCGAUGUCCCUCGACAGAUUUCUUAGUAUAACUCAGUAUAUCCAGGGCUGAGGACUGACUUACAUGAACAAAAUAUUCAAUCUAUUUGUAUUAUUUUACCUUUGCCCUCAAUAACAAGGAACUACAUGACUGCGAGAAAGUAUUAAUCCCUUUUUUUAAUGAAGCCUUUGGUCUGUAUCCUUUUAACACACACACCAAUAAGGUAAAAAAAAGUGAGAUGCUGGCACCCUCUCUAAACACUGUCUGGAAGGAGGCGACCCCACCGCCUUGGGAAGACAGGUGCACGAAGCGGUUAAUUAUCAUUAUUAUCAUCCUCAUUAUCAUGUUUCCUCCAUCCCUAGUGACGAAUUUUCUCAUCUGGCAACACUGCGACAC